CGUGGGCGCUGGAGAACUGAGGGGGGCUGCUCCUAGUACGAGAGGACCGGAGUGGACGCAUCACUGGUGUUCGGGUUGUCAUGCCAAUGGCACUGCCCGGUAGCUAAAUGCGGAAGAGAUAAGUGCUGAAAGCAUCUAAGCACGAAACUUGCCCCGAGAUGAGUUCUCCCUGAGACUUAGAGUCUCCUGAAGGAACGUUGAAGACGACGACGUUGAUAGGCCGGGUGUGUAAGCGCAGCGAUGCGUUGAGCUAACCGGUACUAAUGAACCGUGAGGCUUAACCUUACAACGCCGAAG
rnacentral:rRNA from 3 species